AUGACACAACUAAACCAGUAUCAUGAGGCUUGCCGGCAGCAUGAGUUGGAGUAUCUUGAGCAAGAACAUGAUGACUGUGUUUAUGAGAUCAAGCAUGACCUCAAUCUCCAGAUAGAGGACAGGGAUCGUUGGCUCGAAAUAGAAGAACGCAAGAGUAAGAAACUGAAGCUGGAGCGUGAUCAGUUGGAGGAGUUGACCAACAAGCAGGAGAGCAAAAUCAUGGAGCUAAUGACAGAGAACAGAAGCCUCCGUGAGAAGCUGGCGGAAAAGCUACGGGCUGGCGGAAAAGCUACAGGCGCAUGA
rnacentral:rRNA from 1 species